UUGGGGAAGCUUUCCAUCCGAGGAAGCAACAUGUGUCGUGGGGUGACUAGUCUUGGUCUCAGGGCAGUUGCUCAUGGAUGCCCUUCUUUGAAGUCUUUUUCUCUAUGGAACGUUUCUACUGUUGGUGACGAGGGCCUAAUCGAGAUCGCUAACGGUUGUCACCAGCUAGAAAAGCUCGAUCUUUGCAAGUGCCCUGCUGUUACUGAUAAGGCUUUGGUUGCAAUUGCAAAGAACUGCCAGAAUCUGACUGAGCUUUCCUUGGAAUCGUGCCCUAAUGUUGGUAAUGAAGGUCUGCGAGCUAUUGGGAAGUUCUGCCCCAACCUAAGAUCCGUAACCAUCAAGGACUGCACAGGUGUUAGCGAUCAGGGAAUUGCUGGAUUGUUUUCAACUUCUUUGGUUCUGACGAAGGUGAAGCUCCAAGCACUGUCUGUGUCAGAUC
rnacentral:lncRNA from 1 species